AGUCGAGCGAUGAGGCCCUCUUCGGGGGGUACAUCAGCGGGAGACGGGUGAGUAACACGUAGGUGAUCUACCCCAGAGACGGGGAUAACGGGUGGAAACAUCCGCUAAUACCGGAUAGGCUUGUUCGGUCAAAGGGACAAGGAAAGGCUCCGGCGCUCUGGGAGGAGCCUGCGGCCCAUCAGCUAGUUGGCGGGGUAACGGCCCACCAAGGCAGAGACGGCUAGGGGGUGUGAGAGCAUGGCCCCCCACAAUGGGACUGGAACACGGCCCAUACUCCUACGGGAGGCAGCAGCAGGGAAUAUUGCACAAUGGACGGAAGUCUGAUGCAGCGACGCCGCGUGGAUGAAGACAGGCCCUCGGGUUGUAAAAUCCUUUACAGGGGGAAGAGGAAGGACGGUACCCCUGGAACAAGUGUCGGCUAACUACGUGCCAGCAGCCGCGGUAAGACGUAGGACACAAGCGUUAUCCGGAUUUACUGGGCGUAAAGCGUCUGCAGGCGGACAGGUAAGUCGGGCGUGAAAGCUCCGGGCCCAACCCGGAGAGGUCGUUCAAUACUGCGUGUCUAAAGGGUGUCGUAGGGGACGUGGAAUUUCCGGAGUAGCGGUCAAAUGCGCAGAGAUCGGAACGAACACCAAUGGCGAAGGCAGUUCCCUGGGGCAACCCUGACGCUAAGAGACGAAAGCUAGGGGAGCGAACAGGAUUCGAGACCCUGGUAGUCCUAGCCCUAAACGAUGGAUGCUUGGAUGUGGGUGCCUAGCGCUCCGUGUCGAAGUGAACGCGUUCAGCAUCCCUGCCUGGGGACUACGGCCGCAAGGUUAAAACUCAGACGAUUUGUCGGGACUCCGCACAAGCAGCGGAGCGUGUGGUUUAAUUCAAUGCUACACGAAGAACCUUACCUGGGUUUGACAUCUAGCUGGUAGUGAAGCGAAAGCGGAGCGACCCUUCGGGGAGCCUAGACAGGUGCUGCAUGGCUGUCGUCAGCUCGCGCCGUGAGGUGUCGGGUUAAGUCCCGUAACGAGCGCAACCAUUGCCCUCCGUUAUACGUGUCAGAGGCGACUGCCGCCGGUAAGCCGGAGGAAGCUGGGGAUGACAUCAAGUCAGCAUGGC
rnacentral:rRNA from 1 species